rfam:Drosophila pseudoobscura pseudoobscura strain MV2-25 chromosome XL unlocalized genomic scaffold ChXL_group1e, whole genome shotgun sequence.
UCCUCCUCAAGGAGGAAAUUCUUCUACUGCGCGAGGGCAUAGGGCAGAUUCUCAAUAUUCCCUGGGCUCUGCUGUCCGAUGCCCUCACGCAGUACAAGAAUUUCCUCCUCGAGGAGGA